UCGUAUUCCGGCAUUUUUGACGGUCGGUCCGUGUUGACGUUCAAACGAGAAUCAUUCGCGAUAUUUUCCGUGCGUGCGUGUUUUUCUUCAUCCGUACGUGUCCUUUCACGCGAGUCAAGUGAUACCGGAUCUCUGGAGGCACGUCCAGUCUUGUGAAGUACUGAAGAAUUCAGGGUCACCCUUCCGAGGAGGAUCUCCGGAUGCUAACUGCGUGGUGCUCUUUGGGACGUGACGGCGACGUCGUGCAGCAGUAGUAAGUUGUAAAUAAAUAAUUGCAACUCAAGAGGCGGAGAAAAAAGGAAACUUUCAACGAAAAAAAAAAAAGUGACUGGCGAAGGAGAUCCGGUCCGGUCCAGUCCGGUUGGACCUGUUUUUUUUUGCAGUCCUUCGUGUACCGGCACUCUGAUAAGGACGGAAGAGAGUUGUUGCCAUUAAAAAGUUUCGAGUGCUGAACUGUUGACUGCUCGUCGGUUGAGGCUAAAUAAUCUAGUAGUCAUUUAAUGGCCUCAAGGUUUUUGGGCGGUCCAGCUAACUAGAUCCGAAGAGCAUUGAAGUCACGUUCUAGCAGCGGUUCAUGUGACAACAUUCGCGUGCGCGACAGUUCCUAUGUUUACGUGGGAGUUCGAGUGUUGAGUUUGGUUUGGUUUUUCGGCCCGAGCUGUCUGCUGAUUCAACUGUGAAGAACUCGAAGAAAAUAAUAUAUGAAAAAUAAUAAUAAUUAAAGUGUUUGUGAUUUUGUGGGUCUGUCGGUGUCUGGGCCGUUUCAUCAUCACCGCGCGAGGGUGAUUUGGAAAUUGUUACCGCCGAUGUGGAAAUUUCGCCUUCGCUUUUGUGAUUCGAUUUGGUGAUUUUCGAUUGUUUCAACUAAGAAGAGACGAGAAGAGAAAGAAGAAAAAUCCAUGAGCCGAUAGAGUGCACCACAAAUUGAAUGCAGUGAAGUUGUUGAGUUGUUUGGUGAGUUAUUUUCAAUCUGCUGUGGCGCACCCCCGCUUGCCACUUUCGAUUCCGUCGCGGUUGCAUUUCGGCAGCCUAUGAGCGCUGAGUAAUAAUCCGCAAAGCGCAGUAGAGGAGCAACAUCGAACAACCAGUCUCCAGUCAGUGUGCAGCAACAACGUCAAGUUUUGAAAAACCGGUUUCGCCACCAGCCCCAGUGCUCAGGUUCGCCACGCUGCUGGCUUGUGUGAGUGUGUGACGAGCAGAAAGUGGCCGCUGAAGUCGACGACGACGUUUUCGUCUGAUAAACAGAACGGAGGAGAAGCCGGCAGACCGGAUUGAACCGGCCUGGCUGCCUACUACACUGCCUGGUCAGUGCGUUUCCCGAGUGGGAGGGAAUGAAGCAAAAGUGACCAAUUUGUCGCUGGAUUUGAAAGAACUGCAAAAGAUUCAAUCAGCAAACCACAUCUCAACGCAGAAACGCAAUCAGCACCGUUGAAGCUUUUUGAAAUCGUUCACCUAAAAAAAAAAGGACUUCACGAUCCAGAAGGACAAUCACAUCAAUCCAUCUCGGUUGCAUACUUGCAGGUGUAAUCAGACAUCAGACACGAUAAUUACGAUGAUUGGGAUCGAUUACCCGGCGAAAGCUU